ensembl:lncRNA
UGCAUUUCUAUGCACACAAAAGCUUGACACACAUGAAGAAAACAGAACCAGAGUGCAUUUCUUUCAUUCCUUCAGUCAUUUUUCUUUCAGUUUUUCACCAAACCCAGUCCAACAGAGAAAAGAGAUCUCUCUGCAGGCUGCGUAUGGAAUUAGGGCCCCAGCUGCAAUAUUCAGAUUCAUUGGGCCACCUGGGAUCACUGUAACCCCACACCUAGAAAGUGGCCUCCCUCCUUGUGGUGAGGGCCAUCAAGCAACCCUCUGCUGUGGGCCACGCUGACGUCAGUGGAUUUGAUAGCAGUAAGGGAGCACCAGGAAGGCCCCACCUGCCUGGCUGGGAAAUGGCAAAGUCUUGGUGCUCCUUCACUCACAGCCUCCAUUCACACUGGCUGAGAAGGGCAGAGGAAACAACUUGGAUGUUUCUUCUCCUACCUCUACUUCUCCUCUGUCAAUGGCAUCUUUCCAUCUCUCUACUGACCUGCUUUUUGUUUGUUUUUCUGCCUUUUUUUUUUUUUUUUUUUUUUAGUUAUUGAAUCUUGUUUCCCCUGCCAAACUGCCUACAGCUCCUGUUCUGUUUAUUAUACUCAGCACAGAAAGGAAUGAAAAGGAACGAAUCUUGGAAGAGAAACAAAAGCCUGCAAUAAGCUGUAUUCUCAAUUACCCUGUAGCAUGCAGACUGAGAACAAGAGGAGUUGCCACGCUGACACAUACAGCUGAAAAUUGGGUUUGCUAGGUACAGCGAUGUUAAAGGCAGCCUUUCAAUGCCUCCCUCCCAGGCUGCCACUGUGCUGUGCCCUUCGCGAGCACUCCACCACUUAUUGGCACAGGUAUAAAAGCAUCCCUUGGACAAGAGACAGCUCAGGUAAGCUCUGGAGAAAUCAAAGCAGGAAAAGCGGAUAAAAGGCAGCAGUAUUUCUGUCACUACCUCACAGACGGGUUUAUUCUCUCUAACAAUUUCCACCUUGGCAAGCUCCAGGUCACUAAAACAACAUCCAGAACAAUGAAUUAAAGAUACUGAAAAAGAUGAUACAGAAUGCAGCAUUCUCACAGAAAUGUAGAAACUCCCCACACUUCCAUGCAUUGGUAAACCUCAGGCCUCCAUAAGGCUGAGCACUUUGUGCCUCGCUCACACUUGCUGAUUUUCAGUGCUAAAUCGUGCUGAAAACAAACAGAUUGUCAGAUCCAGGAAUCUCUGCAGGGCACAGUCCAGCGAUGUGCUUCAGUUCAGGGAUAACUGAACAGGGCUGGAUAACGCACAGACGCUCUCUCUGUGCGCAACAGUUCCCCUGUUACCCUGACAGGGAACAUCAGCCAUUUGUUUCAACGCAUUACUGCUUUCUAUCCUUUUUAGAACCAACUAUGGAGUUAACUGUGAUAUUUUCCCUGAGUGGGCAAACAAAGGAGGGAAGCGCAGAGCCCACCAGCACUGCCUGCUCAGGAUGUGCACUACUGCAGGACUCUGCAGAGAGUCUCCUAAAGACUGUACUGAGGCGGUGUCUCAUACAGAGCCACAUCCUCCUUAUUCUCGUGCAGCAGCAGCUGCAGGGACCUGGGGGAGUAGGAGGGAGGGAGCAGAGCAGCCAGGCAGCGCUCACGCAUCCUCACCUGCAGCAGUGGGCAGUGAGCCAGCCUGCCCUCUGGGGGAAGGGGGAAGCGGAGGCAGGUGAUACCUGCUCAGUGUGCGGAGGAUGGCUUUCUGGGGGUUGGCUUUCCUGUCUUUUUUUUUUCAUGAAGCGUUUAUCUUCUGACAGUUUUCUGUGUUUUUUUUUUUUCUAAUUUACAAACAAAAGCCCGCUGCAGAUCUCUUAACCCCUACAGAUCUCUGAUUUUUUUAUUUUUUUUAUUUUUUGCGAGAAGAACUGAUCCAGAAAACAGAGACUGAUGAGACCCCCUUGUCCCAUAUCCGCCGCUAAUUCCUAGGGCACAUUCCCCUGCCCUGCCACAUUUUCACGAGCAUUGUUUGCAAAGCGCUGUUCUCUCUGAUAACGCGUCUUAAGACAUCUGUCUGUAUCCCUGAAGUUUCCCUCUUGGAUUUUGCAUCCUGAUUCUCUUAAAAACACAUCCUCAUCUGCAGGCAGCUUCAGCUGCCCAUUAUUUUCAUUUCUGGAUCUCUUUUCAGUAACGUGCUCAUUUCUGUGCCUGUCUUCAUAGAGACGUAUCUCUGCGGAGCAGUGUACUCUGAAGGACAAAGCAAACAACUCCUGGAUCCCCUCCCAGGCUAACCGGAGGAGAGGGGCAGGAGAGGAGCUGUUUUGUAUUUGGGAGAAACCCUAAUUCUCAUGGGACUCUGGAUCCUAUGGCACUACAGACAUUUCUCAGAGGAGCCACCACAAAAAAGAAACACCCCAGAAAGCUCGGUGUAUCCGUACUGGGCACACAGUCACACCUGAUGCUCACACAACGCUGGGCAGCCAAGAGCCAAGGGCUCAAAUUCAGUGGUGCACAGGGCUGAGGUUGGCAGAGGCAGAGCAACAAGCACCUUUGGCCCAAUGUAUGGGAACUGUUGAAUCAGGGCCUGAACCUCUGAUUGACCACCUGAGGCAAGCACUGAAUCAGCAGCAGGAGCACAGGUGAAGGCAAUUCAGCUGUGUGGCUGGAAGGGGUGGAGCCAGGCUGCACCUCUCCUAGAUCCCAUUUAAGGGCUGACUGCCAUUGGGGAAGGAUCUCUUUCUGGAGAUUGCUUCUUGUGGAGUUUCUCGUGAGCCUGCAACACUGGUGAGCGCUUUCAUUUAUCUAUGAUUAUCUUUUCCAAUGCGAUAAUCUUACUAAGCCUAACUUCUCUGUAUACGUAUUGUUCAUCCAAUACUUCACAACAUCUGUAUUCUUAUUGACCUUACACCCAACAGAUUAAAAGCGUACGCCAUUACAGCAUGGACAGCAACACUGUGCUGUUCCAUGAUACAGGGAGAAGGUGGGUAAUGCCAAGGCAGGACUCUGGUCACCACAGCCCAAAGGACAGGGCUAAGAUCAGAAGGAAGCCCUCCAGGCACCUUCUCACCUUCCAGCGUGUCAUCCUGAUGGGAUCUCUGUGCAAUCCCUCCUUCCACUUGGCACAAUACACUUUCAUUCACUGUAUCCCCGAUCCCCAGAUAGGGGCUAAGAAGGAGAAAAAAAGGCUUACACUAAAUGUUACUCCCCUAUUUUCUUCUGUACCAAUCUGAUUUACCCAUCUUGAGGGCAGUAGUGAUGGCUUGAUGUCUUAGGGGAUGCACAACUCGCAUACUUGCCAUAAAUAAUGGAUAGCACAUUACACAGUACUUAAUAUUUAAGUACCUGAAGAAGUAAAAGAAAAUGGAAACAAAAUAUCAUUAAGGGACUGACCUGUUUAAGUACUGCAGAAGGUAAAGAAUAUUUCAACUACAUUCUACUUCCCAUUUGGCCACAGGUCCCAAAUGAAAACCCUGAGAUGUUUCUCCAGCCACAUGUAACUACUACUUACAACAAAAGAGCUGCCUUGCCCAGCACCCUGCAUCUCACUGUACAGCGAGCAGCACAGAUGCCUGUAAGACUGCAUAAAACCAGGACGAGCUCUUGGAAGAAUAUUCUUCCAGGCUAAUUUUUACCUUGGACACUUACCAGACCUAAGGGCAACGUCUUUAUAUUUUAAUCAUUCUUGAUGUAUUCUUUUUCAUCCUCAAAUUUUCAGAGUGCUUUCUGAAGCUGUGUAACUCCAGCUAUAACAGUAACAUGCCACACAACUUCUUUGUGACAAGGAAGUCCUCAGCCUUGGCAUAUUCAACUUUGUUCCUACCAGAUUCAACAUGAUUCCUACCAGAUCUUUGCCUGCAAAACAGUCUGCAGAAGAUUUUUUUUUUUUCCAGUCACUUUCUCCAGGCUAUGUAUGGCUUUAUAGACUUGUAUCAAAUCUCUUCCUUUCAGCUAUCUCUUUUCCAGGGUGAGAAGUCCUAAUCUACUCAGGUGUCCCUGUCACAAAAGCCACUGUGCAUCCAGAUUGCUUUGGUCAUCCUGCUCCAUGUCUCCUCCACAUCUGAUGUGUUUCCUGAGGGGCAGAGGGCAGGGCACCAUGUGCUGGUCACAAUGGAUGUACUGUUUGGACUUAGAAUAUAUAUGGCAUAAUUGUGGUUUCAACUUAGACUAUUCUGUUCCCAGCAUUCAGUUUGAGUUUUUGACCACUGCUGAAAGGCCUGAACUGACAGUCGCUUCAACUUAUCUACCAAUAUCAAAAAGAAAACACUGCUCCUGAGUGAUAAAAUAUUGGGACAGUUUCUUCCUAUUUACUACCCUUUAUGUUUAUCUGUACUGAAUUUCAUCUGCACUUCCUUUACCUGGCUCUCAAUUUGAGAUGAUCAUUUUGCAACUGACUCAUUUCCCUGAAAAAACUGAGCUCAUCAUCCAACUUCACCAUCUGACUGCAGCCCUGCUUUUCCACCUUGUUUGUGAGCCUAUCAAACACCACAGCCUGAGCACAGGUCCCUACAGAACCAGCCUUGUGACUUUCCUCCACUGCGGAAGCUUCAACCUUUUAUUUCUACCUCCUACUUCCCAAUUUUAAUUGAUUUUUCUGAAGCACCUCACUGUCACUGCGUGGCACCUGCAUUCCUUAACAGCUCUUUGAUGCUUUUUGUAAAUCCAAGUAAGUUAUAUCACCAGUCUGGCCCAUCCACUCCUCCAGUCCUACCCGACAGAUUACUAUAUCAUGAUUUUCAUUGCAAACCCCCGGAUGGCUCUUUGUCACUGAUAUUUAUUGAUAUUCCCACUCAUUCCAUUAUUAUUACAGCUUUUGCCAAUGUAUUUAUUGCAUAUACUAGGUUUACCACCGUGGAGCUCUGGGAACCUCACAGGAAACACUUAAAAUAGGAUGUUAAACUGGUGUUUGUCUUCCGGUACCAGGACAUAAGCCAGGAGUGCACACUGGAGUGCCCCAUGACCUCCCUCUCCCCUCCUGGAAUCUUUCAGUAGAAGAGCAGGUUUAAAGAGACAAGACGGAGAACACGGAAGACAUCAACACCUUCCAGCAAUCCAAAUAAAUAAACAUCAUUUUUGAUGUCAGUCCUUUAAUGGCUGUCCUCCUCCUUGAAUAUUAAGAAUAUCAUCACAGAACCUAGAAAGCCAGCCAGAAGAGUUGUGAUUUUUACUAAAUGGUAUUAACAAAACCAAAGCUAAAAAAGCAUAAGAAAUGGAGAGUAAUGCUGCAUUUUGUAUAGAUCUUCUAUUGUGGCGCUGCACAUUUGGUUUCAUUAAACUGUCUAAUUUUAGAAUAUAAGUGUUUCUGAACAAACUUUCUUUACCCAGUAAACUUUCAUUUUUUUCUUCACUAAAGUAAUUCAAUAAGUAAACUCAGUAAGAUUGCAGGUGACACUAAGUUGGCAGGAAGUGUCAAUCUGCCUGGGAGUAGAAGGCACUUCAGAGGGAUCUGGACAGGCUGGGCUGAGGCCAAUGGGAUGAAGUCCAACAACACCAACAGCCAGGUACUGCAUUUUGGCCACGAGAACCCCAGGCACCGCUACAGCCUUGGGGCAGAGUGGCUAGAAGACUGUGUUGGAAGAAAUGGACCUGGGGGUGUUGGUCUGUGCUCAGCUGAAUGUGUGCCCAGGUGACCCUAAGGUUGAUGGCAUCCUGGCUUCUAUCAAAAAUAGUGUUGUCAGCAGGAGCAGGGAGGUGAUUAUCUCUCUGUACUCAGCUCUUUUCCUACCUUAAUGAUACUACAAUUCUAAAGUUUUUAGAAAAACAUCUUCUGUUCUGCUGAGUUUUAAACAUAUUUAUGUGUGAAGAAUAAACUUAUUCUCCAC